CGAGGCGCGCACCACGCGGCCCCUUCCUCCAGGCAUUCGCACCACCCCCCACUCCCGUUGCAUGCUGGGAUUGUAGUUGAUCGCCUGCGAUCAACGGCCGGAAGCGGCUAAAACUACUCCUGCCUGCAUACCCCGCAGGAGCAAACCGCGCCAUGUCUCCCUCCAGGGAUCCGCACCGCUCACAAUCCUGUUUAGUGCUGGGAUUGUAGUCCUGCGAGCCUACGACUAAUAGCUGGAUUAACUCUUAAGUACUCCACAACUACACGCUUUUGAAACUGGCGUUGGCAUAGCGUUAGUUCUGUGCAGGGCGGACGCAGCAGGACAGAAUCUCCCUGGGCAUCUUUUCGGAGCAUCAAUUUUACUGCAAAAUUUUGAAAAAACAAAUUUAAUUGAUUUCCAAGGUUUGUCAAGGAGGACAGAAACUCAGAGCACCCUGCACUUGGGGAUCGGCACUAGGAGCUGCUCUCUGGAUGGGGAGAUGGGAGCUAGCAGCUCACAAUGGGGUCACAAGAUGCAUGGUGAAUAUUUGAUGUUUUAGAACAAAAAUGUAUUUACAAAUCUCAUUUGAUGCAGACAUCUGAAAAUACUCAGAAGUUACAAGAAUUCAUAAAAUACCCACCAAAGCUAAUAGAAAACAUGGAACCUUCCAGGACAAGAAGUAAAUUAAAAGAACAACCCAGAGGAGUAAUCAAAGUGAGAAGCCAGUGCCGCCUCCAGGUACUGGAUGAUCACAGGGACCUCAGGCUUUGGGGAUUAUUCAACUACCUUCUUGGAAUAAACAACAAAAAAAGUAC
rnacentral:lncRNA from 1 species